AUUGAACGCUGGCGGCAGGCUUAACACAUGCAAGUCGAGCGGGGGAGGUUGCUUCGGUAACUGACCUAGCGGCGGACGGGUGAGUAAUACUUAGGAAUCUGCCCAUUAAUAGGGGACAACAUCUCGAAAGGGAUGCUAAUACCGCAUACGCCCUACGGGGGAAAGCAGGGGAUCACUUGUGACCUUGCGUUAAUAGAUGAGCCUAAGUCGGAUUAGCUAGUUGGUGGGGUAAAGGCCUACCAAGGCGACGAUCUGUAGCGGGUCUGAGAGGAUGAUCCGGCACACUGGGACUGGGACACGGCCCAGACUCCUACGGGAGGCAGCAGUGGGGAAUAUUGGACAAUGGGGGGAACCCUGAUCCAGCCAUGCCGCGUGUGUGAAGAAGGCCUUAUGGUUGUAAAGCACUUUAAGCGAGGAGGAGGCUCUUUUGGUUAAUACCCAAGAUGAGUGGACGUUACUCGCAGAAUAAGCACCGGCUAACUCUGUGCCAGCAGCCGCGGUAAGAC
rnacentral:rRNA from 1 species